rnacentral:rRNA from 1 species
CGCGGCCUAUCAGCUUGUUGGUGAGGUAAUGGCUUACCAAGGCGACGACGGGUAGCCGGCCUGAGAGGGUGACCGGCCACACUGGGACUGAGACACGGCCCAGACUCCUACGGGAGGCAGCAGUGGGGAAUAUUGCACAAUGGGCGCAAGCCUGAUGCAGCGACGCCGCGUGAGGGAUGACGGCCUUCGGGUUGUAAACCUCUUUCAGUAGGGAAGAAGCGAAAGUGACGGUACCUGCAGAAGAAGCGCCGGCUAACUACGUGCCAGCAGCCGCGGUAAUACGUAGGGCGCAAGCGUUAUCCGGAAUUAUUGGGCGUAAAGAGCUCGUAGGCGGUUUGUCGCGUCUGCCGUGAAAGUCCGGGGCUCAACUCCGGAUCUGCGGUGGGUACGGGCAGACUAGAGUGAUGUAGGGGAGACUGGAAUUCCUGGCGUAGCGGUGAAAUGCGCAGAUAUCGGGAGGAACACCGGUGGCGAAGGCGGAUCUCUGGGCCUGUCCUGACGCUCAGGCGCGAAAGCUAGGGGAGCGAACAGGAUUAGAUACCCUGGUAGUCCAUGCCGUAAACGUUGGGCGCUAGGUGUGGGACCUAUUCCAUGGGUUCCGUGCCGUAGCUAACGCAUUAAGCGCCCCGCCUGGGGAGUACGG